UGCGUAACACGUGAGGAACUUGUCCCGGUCUCUGGGAUAACAGUUGGAAACAGACGUCGCUAAUACCAGGAUGACGUCGGAACUUCGCAUGGAGUACUGACGAAAGGGUUACUGGAUCGUGGAGAGCCUCGCGGCCUAUCAGCUUGUUGGUGGGGUAACGGCCUACCAAGGCAUCGACGGGUAGCUGGUCUGAGAGGAUGAUCAGCCACACUGGGACUGAGACACGGUCCAGACUCCAUACGGGAGGCAGCAGUGGGGAAUCUUGCACCAAUGGGCGAAAGCCUGAUGCAGCAACGCCGCGUGCGGGAAGAAGGCCCUCGGGUUGUAAACCCGCUUUCAGAAGGAACGAAACUGACGGUACUUUUCAGAAGAAGGUGC
rnacentral:rRNA from 1 species